rnacentral:rRNA from 1 species
AACGAACGCUGGCGGCAGGCUUAACACAUGCAAGUCGAACGCCCCGCAAGGGGAGUGGCAGACGGGUGAGUAACGCGUGGGAACAUACCCUUUUCUACGGAAUAGCUCUGGGAAACUGGAAUUAAUACCGUAUACGCCCUACGGGGGAAAGAUUUAUCGGGGAAGGAUUGGCCCGCGUUGGAUUAGCUAGUUGGUGGGGUAAAGGCCUACCAAGGCGACGAUCCAUAGCUGGUCUGAGAGGAUGAUCAGCCACAUUGGGACUGAGACACGGCCCAAACUCCUACGGGAGGCAGCAGUGGGGAAUAUUGGACAAGGGGCGCAAGCCUGAUCCAGCCAUGCCGCGUGAGUGAUGAAGGCCUUAGGGUUGUAAAGCUCUUUAACCGAUGAAGAUAAUGACGGUAGUCGGAGAAGAAGCCCCGGCUAACUUCGUG